UAGAGUUUGAAUCAUGGCUCAGGACGAACGCUGGCGGCGUGCUUAACACAUGCAAGUCGAACGGUAAGGCCCUUCGGGGUACACGAGUGGCGAACGGGUGAGUAACACGUGGGUAAUCUGCCCUGCACAUCGGGAUAAGCCUGGGAAACUGGGUCUAAUACCGAAUAGGACCACAGAACACAUGUCCUGUGGUGGAAAGCUUUUGCGGUGUGGGAUGGGCCCGCGGCCUAUCAGCUUGUUGGUGGGGUGAUGGCCCACCAAGGCGACGACGGGUAGCCGGCCUGAGAGGGUGUCCGGCCACACUGGGACUGAGAUACGGCCCAGACUCCUACGGGAGGCAGCAGUGGGGAAUAUUGCACAAUGGGCGAAAGCCUGAUGCAGCGACGCCGCGUGGGGGAUGACGGCCUUCGGGUUGUAAACCUCUUUCACCAUCGACGAAGGUUCGGGUUUUCUCGGAUUGACGGUAGGUGGAGAAGAAGCACCGGCCAACUACGUGCCAGCAGCCGCGGUAAUACGUAGGGUGCGAGCGUUGUCCGGAAUUACUGGGCGUAAAGAGCUCGUAGGUGGUUUGUCGCGUUGUUCGUGAAAUCUCACGGCUUAACUGUGAGCGUGCGGGCGAUACGGGCAGACUUGAGUACUGCAGGGGAGACUGGAAUUCCUGGUGUAGCGGUGGAAUGCGCAGAUAUCAGGAGGAACACCGGUGGCGAAGGCGGGUCUCUGGGCAGUAACUGACGCUGAGGAGCGAAAGCGUGGGGAGCGAACAGGAUUAGAUACCCUGGUAGUCCACGCCGUAAACGGUGGGUACUAGGUGUGGGUUUCCUUCCUUGGGAUCCGUGCCGUAGCUAACGCAUUAAGUACCCCGCCUGGGGAGUACGGCCGCAAGGCUAAAACUCAAAGAAAUUGACGGGGGCCCGCACAAGCGGCGGAGCAUGUGGAUUAAUUCGAUGCAACGCGAAGAACCUUACCUGGGUUUGACAUGCACAGGACGCCGGCAGAGAUGUCGGUUCCCUUGUGGCCUGUGUGCAGGUGGUGCAUGGCUGUCGUCAGCUCGUGUCGUGAGAUGUUGGGUUAAGUCCCGCAACGAGCGCAACCCUUGUCUCAUGUUGCCAGCGGGUAAUGCCGGGGACUCGUGAGAGACUGCCGGGGUCAACUCGGAGGAAGGUGGGGAUGACGUCAAGUCAUCAUGCCCCUUAUGUCCAGGGCUUCACACAUGCUACAAUGGCCGGUACAGAGGGCUGCGAUGCCGCGAGGUUAAGCGAAUCCUUUUAAAGCCGGUCUCAGUUCGGAUCGGGGUCUGCAACUCGACCCCGUGAAGUCGGAGUCGCUAGUAAUCGCAGAUCAGCAACGCUGCGGUGAAUACGUUCCCGGGCCUUGUACACACCGCCCGUCACGUCAUGAAAGUCGGUAACACCCGAAGCCAGUGGCCUAACCCUUUGGGAGGGAGCUGUCGAAGGUGGGAUCGGCGAUUGGGACGAAGUCGUAACA
rnacentral:rRNA from 1 species